rnacentral:lncRNA from 1 species
CUGCAUCUCAUUUGUUUACAAGGUUCUGCAUCUCAUCUGGCAGAGACUGUCCUGGAGACGUGAACACCCCGCUGUGAAUGUCCUGCCUGUUGGAGGAUGCUGUGCCACAUAGCCCUCUCUCCUUCCACUGAGACUGCUCUUGCUAAUGGAACCCCCAGGGUGAGAGCCUGGCGCCCGGGGUGUUUCCAUUCUUGCUCUUCCAGCAGAAGAAGAACACAAGCUGCCUUUUUCCUGGACCAUCUGGGGGGCAGACAACGGAAACCCACUUCCUAAACUGACGGUGAAGCUCCUAAAAAACUGAGCAAGAGACCCAGGUGGAGGCCGGAACAAAGCCCCAGGGUCAUCAGAAGAGCAUUUUGUCAUCCAACAACGACAAGAAGCCUUGUAAUGCUGUGUGAGUCACAAAACAUUUUCACGUAUAUUCUGCCACUUUAUUCUUCUAAUUCUUCUGUGAGAAAGGUACUCUGUUUACCUAAUUCUACAGAUGAGGACCCUGGGGACUAGAGUUACCCCAAAUCAAUUAGUAACUGGCAGGGCUGCAAUGAUUAGGAAGUGCUGGCAGCUGGUCAGCUUCUCUAUCAAGAAAUCAGUGAUGAUGAUGAUGAUGUAACCCAGAAUUCAGACACUGGACAUCCCUAAAGCCUCCGUCUUGCUCCUUUAACGUUUCAGUAGAUGUAGGCUUCCUGCCCUGUCACAUAUGGCAGAGAACCCCAUGCUCUUUCCACUCUAUCCUGGGUAGGCUGUAUCCUCAGGCCCUGAAUUACUUCUCAAUCCUUGGUUCUCCCCUUGUGUUUUGUUUCCUGCUUUGGGUCUCCCUUUUUUUGCGGAUAUUCUCCCCAAUAAUAGACAAGCUGAGGUGUACAGAUAGUAAGUUGAGGUGUACAGAUAUCAAGUGACACCUGACUGCCGCAUACAGUUGGGCAGUUGGGACACUGUACAAGGGGGCCCUGUUGAGAGAGGGAGGUGGAGGGUGGAAAUCCAGCCGAGCAGCAUUUGCCAAGUUGGGAAACCUGAGGUGCUGCAUCCUAACCAGAGGGAACUCUCUUAUUUAUCUGUCCAAAAGGGACGUCUUCUUCUAAUUUGCACAAAGACAUGCUAUAGUCUGGAGCUGACCUUCAGGAACACAUUCGAGGUCACACAUCGAGAAAGUCGUGGCCAGAGUGGAAAGCCUGGUCAGCUUCCGAGUUCCGGUCUGGUGCACAUCCUCCCU